AACCUCAUCAGCCGGAAGGGAUUCCUUCCACUUAAUGAGGUGUAACAGCCUCAUCAAUCAGAAGGAAUCCCUUCCAAUCAAUGAGGUU
rnacentral:miRNA from 1 species